rnacentral:rRNA from 1 species
UACGGAGGAUCCGAGCGUUAUCCGGAAUUAUUGGGCGUAAAGCGUCCGUAGGUGGCUAAUCAAGUCUGCUGUCAAAGCGUGGAGCUUAACUCCAUAACGGCAGUGGAAACUGAUGAGCUAGAGUGCGAUAGGGGUAGCAGGGAUUCCCAGUGUAGCGGUGAAAUGCGUAGAGAUUGGGAAGAACACCAGCGGCGAAAGCGUGCUACUGGGUCUGCACUGACACUGAGGGACGAAAGCUAGGGGAGCGAAAGGG